rnacentral:rRNA from 1 species
GCUUAACACAUGCAAGUCGAACGCGAACGGUUUCUUCGGAAACCUAGUAGAGUGGCGCACGGGUGAGUAACGCGUAAGUAAUCUACCCUGGCAUCUGGGAUAACAAUUCGAAAGGAUUGCUAAUACCGGAUACGCUGGAAACAGGAAAGGUGGCCUCUUCAUGAAAGCUACUGUGCCGGGAGGAGCUUGCGUACCAUUAGCUAGUUGGUGGGGUAAAGGCCUACCAAGGCAACGAUGGUUAGCGGGUCUGAGAGGAUGAUCCGCCACACUGGAACUGGAACACGGACCAGACUCCUACGGGAGGCAGCAGUGAGGAAUAUUGCGCAAUGGGGGAAACCCUGACGCAGCGACGCCGCGUGGAUGAUGAAGGCUUUCGGGUCGUAAAAUCCUGUCAGAAGGGAAGAAAUGGUUUGUAGCUAAUAUCUACAUUCUUUGACGGUACCUUCAAAGGAAGCACCGGCUAACUCCGUGCCAGCAGCCGCGGUAAUACGGAGGGUGCAAGCGUUGUUCGGAAUUACUGGGCGUAAAGCGCGCGUAGGCGGCUUUUUAAGUCAGAUGCGAAAGUCCACGGAUCAACCGUGGAAGUGCAUUUGAUACUGGAAAGCUUGAGUACUGGAGGGGAUGGUGG